rnacentral:rRNA from 1 species
UACAGAGGUCCCGAGCGUUGUUCGGAUUCAUUGGGCGUAAAGGGUGCGUAGGCGGCGGGGCAAGUCUGAUGUGAAAUCCCGGGGCUCAACCCCGGAACUGCAUUGGAUACUGCCUUGCUCGAGUACUGGAGAGGGAACUGGAAUUUACGGUGUGGCAGUGAAAUGCGUAGAGAUCGUAAGGAAGGCCAGUGGCGAAGGCGAGUUCCUGGACAGUUACUGACGCUGAGGCACGAAGGCCAGGGGAGCAAACGGGG